ensembl:lncRNA
GAGAGAGAGAGAGAGAGAGAGAGAGAGAGAGAGAGGUGGCGCCCGACACACCGUGCUGCCUCCCGGGGGAUGCGGCCACGACUCGGUACAGUAGUUGGGCUUUCAUUGGCUUGUGUUCCCAACUCGUGUGACGCUCGAUCCUGACCCGGCGACAUGCGUGGCGAAGGCGAACUGUGACACAGCGGCUUGCAGAUUAAACGCGGAGUAGCCGACGUAACAGCGCACCUUGUCCAGCGGAGAACCAUGAGCACUUUGGAGGAGCAGACGGACCACAUGAUACCAUGAAGUCAAGCCUGCAGGCCCUGAGCUCCUCGCUGCUGACCUCUCCCAUUGUCUCUCCCUCUCUCGUCUCUCCCAUUGUCUCUCCCUCAUCUCUGCCUCAGUGUCUCUCUCAGCUGAUAAACCCCGUCGUCACGCCAACAUUAGCCAAGCCUUUGAACAGGAAGAAGUUAUCCCUCCGUAGCGAUAGCUUCUGCUCUUAUCUCCGGGCUUACGUCUGUUGCCCCCUCCACCCACCCAUCCUCCACCCUCCACCUUCG